CAGGACCAGUGGGCAAUAUUUAUUUUUAGCUUCAUGGUCAAGAGGUCAACAUCGUUUCAAGACAAUAGGAUCCAUAAGGCACAUGCUCUCGGGCUACCAUCCUCAGUUUCCUAUAAUUGAGGGGAGCAACAGGUUGUGAAGAGUGACGACAUCAAGGGACACAACCAUGGACCUUCAGCAGAGAGAUCCAGCCAUCCACCAGGGCCAAACUGGGCCAGGGCCUCUGCCUCAGGAGGCACAGAGAAACCUGCAGAAUUUCCUAAAGGGGCAGCCAGUUAUUAUUGGGGUGAGCCAAAUCAUGAUUGGCCUAAUGAAUAUUUGCCUGUGGAUUAUGGUAAAAGUCUUCCUUUCAUUCCAUAAACUACAUCUAUUCCUA